GACCGGUUUUCAUGGACUCGUUCGGGAAUUAUACCUCCACGACGACGACAGGAGCCCCAGACGUGGCCCCGCAUCGUGAUUAUAAGUUCCUCAUUGUUCCUCUGGUAGUGGUGUUUGUUAUCCUCUUACUGUCGGCCCUUGUGUAUUUGAUGGCGCGAAGGAAACGGCGACUCGACCGCUUGAGACACAGUCUUAUGGUCUUGUACGAAUUUGAUUCAAACGAACACGAGUGGGAGUCUUUGAACAGCUCAGACAACCCCAACUACACCCAAAUCAACAACACUGCUGUCUAGAUCGUUUAUUAACCAACAGUAUUCGAGUCAGUAUCGCUGCUAAAGUAACCCCCAAACGUCUUUUCAAAUAAAUCGUUUUCAAUCAUCUCACUCACAAAAAAGCUACAUUCUGCCAACUUCUGGGGCACAUAAGUGGGCAAGUCCCGCUUGAUGAUGUCGUCGACAAUGUCAGACACCUCUAAGUCAUCCUCGUCGCCAAAAUUCGACUGGUCGAGGUCGAAAGACACCUCAGGGGCCCCCUUUCUAGGAGUCGAAACCUUGCACACGAACGACUCCAAAGUGUGUGGUUGAUUUUUCCUAGUUUUCUUCUUCACCGGUGAUUUCAUAGUGAUUGAAAUGUUUUGCAACAAACCGUCAAUUUCAUCAACUGCACAUUUCUUUUUCCUAGCCUUAGGUUUGGGCUUUUUUGAUUCAAACUCUUGCACCAAGUGAGGGAAGGCCCUUUCGACCAGGUUUUGGGGCUCCACGGUUGACCACAACUUUUCCAAAUCGCCGAAUUGUUCCAACUGUUCUUCAGGGAUCAAGUCACUAAAACAACCCUUGUCUUCCCAAACUAUCUCAUAACUAGCGAUUCCUACAAUCAUUUUCACCUAUUUAUUUAUUCAUUUUUCUAAUGAUUUUUGCACCUUUUAAAGUCCGUCGUUUCUUGAUAAAUUUUGGGGAAACAAUUCCUUGCGUCUUGUCGUUGAUUUGGUCGUAAUGUAACAAUUGCCAUCUGGUUAAAAUCGGGAAGAACUUUUCAAAACCGUAAAUCUCCUCCCAAGUCAGGUAUUUAACUGUAAAUUUCUAUCAAAAAGUUAAUUUUUGGCGACUUUUAACAACUCACUAUGAAAUUGGCCAAAUCGGGCUUACGCCAUCUCAGGUCUAGCUCCGAAACUGUGCUUUUCUGGCCCAGGAAUUCAUUAAUUAAAUUCUCGUCGGGGAAGUUGGGGUCAAGCAAAGCUUUGCUCCUCAUAUUUAGCUCAUUUUUAAUUUCAAGUCUUUCGUUUUUGUAACUAGAACCGCAGCCUUGGUUUGUCUUGCACACAAUGCAGCCUUGAAGCAAUAAAUUAUGUAAUUGUU